CUUCCGCUGCAGGAGGUUGAGAGGCCACCCUAUUCCGGUUGGGGGAUGUGGGAACUGUAGUUUGUGUAAGAAUAACUUUCUCAGCAGGAGAUUAUGUCCUCCUUUCUCCCUUCGGAAAUUCUGGGAAGUGUAGUCCGGGCUGCUAAUGAGGGAAGAGUCACUUCCGCCCCAGGUGUGCGAGGCCUUGUCCUGUUCCUUUCAGAAAGGUCUCCAUCGUUUCCUAGGAAAAAGGAGGAGAAAAUGACCAAAUUGCAGGUGAGUUAAUUUUUAUUUGUGCGGUUACGUUCCCCUCCUGUUUCAGAGUGGGCACACUGUUCCUCAGUAAGGAAUGGCAGCAGGUACGGGCUGCGUAUGUAUCGGGUGCAAAGAAAAGUCUACUUUUGUUUAUUUUAAAAUCUAUUUGUUUAUUCAUGGGGGAGCACUCAUGCCACGGU
rnacentral:lncRNA from 1 species